UACGUAGGGGGCAAACGUUAUCCGGAUUUACUGGGUGUAAAGGGAGCGUAGACGGUUAUGCAAGUCAGAAGUGAAAGCCCAAAGCUCAACUUCGGGACUGCUUUUGAAACUGUGUAACUAGAGUGCAGGAGGGGUAAGCGGAAUUCCUAGUGUAGCGGUGAAAUGCGUAGAUAUUAGGAGGAACACCGGCGGCGAAGGCGGCUUACUGGACUGUAACUGACGUUGAGGCUCGAAAGCGUGGGGAGCAAACAGG
rnacentral:rRNA from 1 species